UACGGAGGGUGCAAGCGUUAUCCGGAUUUACUGGGUUUAAAGGGUGCGUAGGUGGGCUUUUAAGUCAGUGGUGAAAUCUCCGGGCUUAACUCGGAAACUGCCAUUGAUACUAUUAGUCUUGAAUAUCCUGGAGGUAAGCGGAAUAUGUCAUGUAGCGGUGAAACGCUUAGAUAUGACAUAGAACACCCAUUGCGAAGGCAGCUUACUACGGGAUUAUUGACACUGAUGCACGAAAGCGUGGGGAUCAAACAGG
rnacentral:rRNA from 1 species